CUUGAUGUUCGUGGUGUUCACGCUAAAUGUGUGUGUGUGUGUGUUUUAUUUGUGCACCUUCACAUUGCUUUGAACAGUAUCCACAUUACAUACUGUAUUAUAAUAGGAAUGGUUUGGUGAAAAAUCAAACUUACUCUAAAUGCAGUGGAUUAGAAUAGUGGUUGGUGUCCAACAACUAAAAUGCUACUUUUGGCUGCUUUGGCUGUAACUAUAACAAUGUUCUUAUUGUUAAGACGUGACUGGUGAUGAGGUAAAGAUUGGUGCGACUGUGGUGAUGAGGUAAAGAUUGGUGCGACUGGUGAUGAGGUAAAGAUGGUGAUGAGGUAAAGAUUGGUGUGUCUCUGGGGAUGAGGUAAAGAUUGGUGCGACUCUGGUGAUGAGGUAAAGAUUGGUGCGUCUCUGGGGAUGAGGUAAAGAUUGGUGCGACUGUGGUGAUGAGGUAUAGAUUGGUGUGACUGGUGAUGAGGUAACGAUUGGUGCGACUGUGGUGAUGAGGUAAAGAUUGGUGCGACUCUGGUGAUGAGGUAAAGAUUGGUGCGACUGUGGUGAUGAGGUAAAGAUUGGUGCGUCUCUGGGGAUGAGGUAAAGAUUGGUGCGACUGUGGUGAUGAGGUAUAGAUUGGUGUGUCUCUGGGGAUGAGGUAAAGAUUGGGGUGACUCUGGUGAUGAGGUAAAGAUUGGUGCUACUCUGGUGAUGAGGUAAAUAUUGGUGCGACUCUGAGGAAGAGAUAAAGAUUGGUGCUACUCUGGUGAUGAGGUAAAGAUUGGUGUGACUGGUGAUGAGGUAAAGAUCGCUGCGACCCUGGUGAUGAGGUAUAGAGUGGUGCAUCUCUGAGGAUGAGGUAAAGAUUGGGGUGACUCUGGUGAUGAGGUAAAGAUUGGUUCUACUCUGGUGAUGAGGUACAGAUUGGCGUGACUCUGGGGAUGAGGUAAAGAUUGGGGUGACUCUGGUGAUGAGGUAAAGAUUGGUGCUACUCUGGUGAUGAGGUAAAUAUUGGUGCGACUCUGAGGAUGAGGUAAAGAUUGGUGCUACUCUGGUGAUGAGGUAAAGAUUGGUGUGACUGGUGAUGAGGUAAAGAUCGCUGCGACCUUGGUGAUGAGGUAUAGGGUGGUGCAUCUCUGAGGAUGAGGUAAAGAUUGGGGUGACUCUGGUGAUGAGGUAAAGAUUGGUUCUACUCUGGUGAUGAGGUAAAGAGUGGCGUGACUUUGGUGAUCAGGUAUAGAUUGGUGCGUCUCUAGGGAUGAGGUAAAGAUCACUGCGACCCUGGUGAUGAGGUGACGAUUGGCGUGACUCUGGUGAUGAGGUGAAGAUCGGCGUGACGCUGGUGAUGAGGUAAAGAUUGGGGUAAAGAUUGUCACAUUGUGCUUUUCUGAAAACCUUUUACCAGAGCUCCACUACACUUCCCCUAGGUUUGAAGAAUCCGUGAGGCUGCCCCAUCAAAACAUUUCUGGAGGCUGGAUGUCAUGCUGUUCUUUGAUCUUAAAUGUGUAAAAGCAGAUUAUUUCUGUUUCCAUAAAAACGGUUGUAUGCAUGUAAAGAUGUGGGCGUGUGUUUAUUUAAAAUGUUUCAAGUGAGGCAGACGAACGUCACACAGUAACUUCGUUAAAGGCUUUGGGGCGGGGGGGGCGAGGGGAGACUGUGUACAUUUGAUUUUUCAUCAAACCAUUCCUUUCAAGUAGCCAUAAUGUGUGUAUUAUUUUACUAAACAUGUUAAUGUCUAAUGUUUUUUUUUGGUUGUUGAUUGAUUGAUGUAUAUCUGAGAAAGCAAUUUUUUUUAAACAUCAGCUGUCUGUAAAGUUCUUCUAAUGCCCAGUGCCAGUACAUCUGGUGUAUUUGGUCUUGUCUUCAUACUUUUUAUUUAUAUAGAUCAUAAUUCAUCCAGUUCAGACUCAAAUACUCCUGGAGUCGUUUAGUCUGAAAUGUCCUCAAAAAGUACAUCCUGUCUCUGUAGCAGGACUGUGUUCACUACACACACACACAUGCCUUGUAAAUAAAAGUAAUGCUUUGUAAACACACAUCAGAUAUCAGUUUAAACACAGUCCUUUCUGAGUGAAUAGUCUGUCUGAUACACUGUCGUGUAUCAUCGGGAAAUUAACCGAAACCCGACCUCGUCUCUGGUUUGUUAUCUCACAAGACGACGCACAACUCGUUCAGUUCUUAUUCAUGAAACAAGCUUGUUCCUGUUCUCGC
ensembl:lncRNA